AAGUCGUAACAAGGUUUCCGUAGGUGAACCUGCGGAAGGAUCAUUAUUACGUAUCCACGUAUCAAACCAAAUCGUGAACUGUUUCCCGUCUGAUGAGGAUUUCUGCGAGUGUUUGAACAUUUAUUAAAUGCAUGGUGAGGACUCCUAGUCGCAAGACUGGUUUCUUCGAAAUGGCACUCGGUCCUGGUUGCCCUCUCGGGGCUUCAGCCAGCUCAUUAGAUGUGGUUGAAUUUCAAUCACUAUGCUAAACUAUUAACCCCUUGUAAAACACUUGAACUAAAUUACGGAGACAAGACCCUUAACCAGGAAACUAUCUCUGAUAAACCGAGACUUAAGAAACAACUCUUAACAACGGAUAUCUUGGUUCUC
rnacentral:misc_RNA from 1 species